rnacentral:lncRNA from 1 species
UGGAGGGUUGUCAAACCUUUUAAGUAGUAUAUAUAGCUGAUGGCCACAUAUGUUUGUGAAGUACAUAUCAAUCUGGUGUUCGUCAAUAGCAGGUCAAGCAUAUAUCACGUUGUCUAGCACUCUUCUUGGAUCAAUUGGUAUCUUUCCAAUAUAAAUUAUUCGUCGGGUAAGAAGUCAAUCAGUGAUUGCGUCCCUGGGAUCGUGCACAUCUUUUCCCCUCGGAUAGGUUCUCUUCCAUUGUAACUUUCUGUCUACAAGACUAUGUUCUUCGUUUCCUCCCAGACUCAAGUGAUAGCUGCUUCCCAGAUUUCUCUCUAUACAAGGUAAAUUUAACUAUCUCUACACCUUUAAAAAAUCUCAUUUUUUGCCACAUUGGUGGUUCAGAUUUGAAUCUGAAGUUACAUAUACAGAUCUGUCGUUGGACGGAGCG